rnacentral:misc_RNA from 1 species
AACGCACAUUGCGCCCAUUAGUAUUCUAGUGGGCAUGCCUGUUCGAGCGUCAUUAAGUCCACUUAAGCCCUGCUUAGUGUUGGGAAUCUACUCUGGCGGAAGCUACCCGGGACUUACCCUGUAGUUACCCUGUAGUUCCUUAAAGAUAGCGGCGGAGUUGUUGUUCCCUCUGAGCUUAGUAGUAACCUUCUAGCUUUCGAGUAGCAACAACCCCUGCCGUAAAACACCCUUCUUCUGAAUGGUUGACCUCGGAUCAGGUAGGAAUACCCGCUGAACUUAA